AAAAAAAAAUGAAUAUGAUUAGCAAGUUUUCUAAAUAAUUCCAUUGUAUUUAGGAUAAAAUAAUACAAAUUGAAGCCAAAAAGUUUAGACUGAGAACUAUAAUCAGGACUAUACUUUCAAUUUACACUAAUCUAUCAUAUUUCAUAGGUUCAAAGUUCAAUGUACAUAUUAGUUUGCUCAAUUGAGUGAUUUUCCAUUUUAGCUUAACUUAAAAUAGCCCUUAAUUGAUCACCUGUGUGGCUUCUCAUUUCUGAAAAGGUUCCAAUUCGAGAUAUAUUUUUGGCCAAGUGCAGUGGCUCAGGCCUGUAAACCCAACUACUCCAGAGGCUGAGGCACGAGAAUCACUUGAACCUGAUUGAAGGCAGAGAUUGAAGUGAGGUGAGAUUGCGCCACUGCACUCCAGCGUGGGUGACAGAGCAAAACAUUGUCUCAAAAAAAAAAAAAAGAUACAUUUUGACAAAAUACAAAACUGAAAAGUUUUAUAUGAACAUUUAACAUUACCAUUCUCAUUAUGUAUCUAUGUACUUAGUAUCCUCACCUCGGCUUAAAAAAAAAAAACAACUAAAAAUAGUACGCUGAUGUUAUCAGCUACAAAGAAAAUUAAUGAUGUAUUCCAUACUGAAUCACAAAAAGCAUACAAUUUGGAUUAAGAUGACCUAAAUAUGAUUCCUGUCUUCUCCACUUUUUAUAUAACUUUAAACAAGCUAUUUUAACUUUCCCAAUCUGUUUUAUCAUUGAUUAAUGGGGAUAAUAUCACCUACCUCACUGCAGAGAUGUAAAGAAACCAAGCAUAUGGUACAAUUCACCACUUUCUGAGCACAGUAAAUGCUAUCAUAAAGACAGGGGAAUCUUCCAUAGCAGUUUAUCAGUACACAUUUUGAGACCUAACAUAAAUUAAAUCACAUCUCCUAAAAGCUGCUGAUCCAAGUCAGCAAGGUCUAGGAGAAGUAAUAAAAAGGAAGUCCCAUACUAAUUUUUAGUAGCCAAUAUUGAGUGAAAUUUUAUAUCUAAAAUACAUCAAAAUAGGACUAUUUUAAGAGGCAUAGAAGGCUUGUUUAAAAAACGAAAAGAAAAAAAGCUAAGGUAAAGCAAAAAAUAAUAAUCAUUUUCAGUUUACUGACAACAUUCAGACAAAGAAGUACAAUAGUAUGUUUUAAAAUCUAUCAAAAGAGCUGAAAACUACUUGAAAGGCAGCUGAGCAAAAUGGUCAGAGCUCUCUACUGAGAGAAGAUGAGAUUAUAGUUUCAACUGUCACUAAUAUUUAAUAAUUGACCUUAGACAAGAGUCUCCGGGCUUCAGUUUCCUAAUCUUUAAACGACUACUAAAAACUAUAGCGAAAAUUUAAGUACAAUUUAAUCUGGGCCUUACUUUGGAGAGGCAAUCUAGAGAAGAAGUUAAUAGAAUGGGCUAGGUAGCAACUGUCAAGGUUGGAAUCCUGGUUUUGCCACUUAGAAGCUGUGCAGUGUUCACACAAAAAACACUAAAGUACAGUUUACUUAAUACUAUCACUGAUUUACUGCUUAAAAUAUUUCUCUAAAACACAAAAUUGCAUUAAAAUACAGAAGCUAGGAAAGUUGUGUCUUUCCAAAUCAUUUCACUGGCAGACAACGGAGCAGUUCAUUUUAAAGUAUUAAAACUCUAAAACAUGCUAACAUAAGCCAAGUUUAAUCAAAAGAUCAUCUAAUACUACACAUUAGAGACUAAACACGUAUUAUAAGGCUAAUUGUUCCCACCACCAUAUCACACUUAGGGUAAAAAUGGAACUUCUGCUACUUGUUAAGUCUUUUUUCUAAUCUAUUACUGCUAAUCACAACACAAGCUUAUAAUAUAACCAUAAUUUCCAAGAAUGAAAUUAACUCCAAGAACGAAAAAUCUGUAUAAUUUAGAAAUAUAAAGCGAACUUCAAACAACUAAAAAUACGUAGUGCAGAAGUUACAACCGGUCAGUAAGUAUUUAGUAUAUGCCAGGCUCUGUGCUUAGAUUAGGUACAAACAGCAAAGUAUAAAGUUCCUCAAACUUAGUCAAGUUACAAGGACUUGAAAUUUCAGGCAGGUGCAUGCUUUAUCAUCACUUGCCAGAAAAUAAAAGCCACUCACCUACAAAUGUUUUUAUUUCCUUUUUGGCCCACGUAAGAAUAGUGCCCAAUGCCCACUAAAACUGCUUCGUAUUCAGUUCAGCCCACAAAAAUGCCCAAACCAGUCAGUUCCUCACGUCAGGAUCCUCACAGUACUUAAAAGUGAACGGCUUCGAAAAAGGUAUUUCAUCAAAUCACAAGCUUCCGUAUUUUAAGUUCAGUGACACCUAACACCUGCAGAUACUACUAAACAUAACUGGGCUAACCUGAGUCAAGUACCUAGUUGCACCAAUUUAGUUCUUCCCUUUAAAGUGCUGCCAGUAAAGGCAAACUCUACUUCUUCAAAAAGUCGGCUUUUUGAAAUGCCCAUUAGGCACAGAAAAGGGAAAUUGAUUGGUUCGUCACAGUUGCCCUACUUCUAUUUCAGGUCCAAGGAACAAAACUAUUCCACAGAGAGUAGCAAGGGGGCCACACGCAAAUCUAGGAGGCAGAUGCUAAACCGAACUUUGUCGAUGACCACGAUUUAAGCUAAAGGUAAACACUGGCCACCGUCGCCGCUUACCUCAGUUAACAUUAUUACACCCCGGGGAAGUGAGGUCCUCCCUAGCCUCGCCUCAUGGCAACAGCCGUAGCAGCAGCGAAAACUGCUCGGGCCGCCGCCAACGGCGGCAACUGCUCCUUCAGUCCUCUCCGGGGCGGCUGCUUUACUCGGCUUUGCUGACUUCCCCCCGGCCCGGUCGCUCGCGACGGACGCGCCGCCAUCUUGGAAGAGCGACGUCCGCGUCUCCCUGCAACGUGCACUCCCAUUGGCGGGCUCAGGGGCUGCCAGCGACUCGUGACCGUCUCCAUAGCGCCGGCGCGCGGAGAAGUGGAGGCGGGCUCUAGGCUGUCGGCUCUGCGCUGGCGGGGAGGACCCCGGGACUGGGCGCCUGGGCCAACUUGGGACCACUGGGAGUGCCGAGAGACCACAGCACCAGAGCCUCCACUGCACCGACGCACAGGCCCGCCAGGCCGGCGCAUCUUCCGCCGCCCACUAGGGUUGGCCGGCCCUGGGAGGGGAGAGAAUGGCAGAGGCCUGCACUUCGACUGAUGGCGUUGCGGACCUCACUGCUUUCGGGGGACAAGGCGGCAGAUUUCCCGUAGAGGAACUUCCCUCUCGCAUCUCCCUGGCCCCGCGGCGACUGAAGAGUACUCUUGGGGUUCGGCUUUCUUCUGCGAUUUAAGUAUUAUUUGAAACAGCUCCCUGCGCGGCCCUUUUCUCCUAAACUUUGACAGAAACUUUGCUUUGUCCCUACCAAUCCUCAGUGAGUUCUUUAGAGGGGUCCGAGACAGUUUGUAGAUAACGAUACGCGUUUAUUGGCUUUACCCUGUCCUAGCAAAGUUAGGACUGUGGCUGACGUGAUUGGCCCGCACCUCCCUAACAGCCUAACAAUGGAGGUUUAAUUAUGCUACUAUAGUAAGACACCUCUAAAAAAAAAAAAAAAAAAAAAAAAAAAAAAAAAAAAAAAAAAAAAAAAAAAAAAAAAAAAAAAAAAAAAAAAAGUAAAACAGGCUUUACGUUUUACCUGCUAUCUCUACGGGUUUACUGGCUUCUUAAUACAAUAUGCUUGUGUAGCAAGGUGAGCAAAUUUCAGCAAAUGUCAUUGUAAAUAGUCCCAGCCUAAAUGGAAUUGAACUCUGGAACCAAUGUGCAUAGAAGUCCCUGAGCUGACGCCAUUCUAGAUCUACCACUAGAUGGUUUGCGAUGUAUGGAAUUUAAAGGCAGUCACUUCUACCUGAAUUGUGAUGAAAGUAGUGUGCCUGAACACGCUGGGAAAGUGUGCUACCCUGUUUUAUAUUAGAAACCGGUUUCCAAGGAAAUUGAAAAGUAAA